GAGGGGUCCUGGUCUGGUCU
rnacentral:misc_RNA from 1 species